GCUGGGCAAAGUGAUGCGUGUCUGUCAUUCCAGCUACUGGGGAGGCUGAGACAAGGAUCGCAAGUUUGAGGCCCAUCUGGGCAAAUUAGCAAGACCCUGUCUCAAAAAUU
rnacentral:sRNA from 1 species